UCUCUUGCCAAGCCCGCAGUUUCUGCCAUCUGGAUGCUUCCUCGUCCCUAUUCUCUCACCUAUAACCUCUGCCUCCAUGGUGGAUCAAGAAAAUGAUGCUUUCUUUCUCCCUUCUCAUCUUGCUUCUUCCAGUGGCUCUAGCGUCACCGCUAUGCACGUGAUCUAAUAACCUGCCAUUUUGGGUCAGGGUAAUACAGACGAAUAUUGCUUCCCAUCAACCCCAGGGACCAGUAGAGAAGAGCCUUUAUGGCGAGUGCGCUCUGCUGUUUCCCCAGAAGCCAGCUUGAAGGUUCAGUCUCUGAAGGUUUCUGCCCUGGCUUUUAAAUUUCAAGUUACUGGUACAGUGAAAGUCAACGAGAAGUGUGUCUUUUUUACUAUCCGACUGAAGUCGCACGUGUGGCCAAGGAUCCAGUGUCAUUUGUGAGGGUCUGGAAGAUUCAAGUGCAUCUUCCCACCCAAGCCAUGUGUGCUCACGUGUCGCCAAGGCGGGACCACGACGAGGAGUACAAUCAAUUUCUUGAGGGUAGAGCAUGUUUCUGACACAUCUUAGCAUCUCUGAGUGCCAGAAAAAAUAGGUGCUUACCAUCAGGAUCAGGUUCUUACAAAAAUGUCUGAAGCUGCUAGACAUCUGCAAAGAGGGGAUAAGUUUAGAUUUCCUACUGAUUUUGGAAGAAAAGAG